rnacentral:lncRNA from 1 species
CACCGCUGCUACCUUCGCCCAUCCUCGUUCAUACGGUGGAAAAAUACACGAAUGAAGGGGUACUACUUCAUUCGUGCGCUAAAGUAUGCGAAAGUGGCCGACCCCAGAUAGCUAUAGUAUAGAACUUGCAGUCGGCUGCAAACACACGAACGGCCGGUGAAAGUCAAACUUCGGUCGACGAUUCUGAGAACUGUGUUCGUGGGAUCUGAGCGCUAUUCGCCUAGAAUAUGCCCUCAGAUCCAAGCUAUCUGGGGAUAGGUGGAACUUAAAGUUUAU